CAUUUUGCCUUGUCGAUUGGGGAGAAUCUCACCAGUGGUUCUGGUGCUCCAUAAUGGAGUGAGUACCUAUGCCAGGUCUUUAGAGAGGCGAUGAAUAAAGUUGCAUUUUGACUUUAGGAGAAAACAACCUGCUGCACAUGUGCUCAAUGUACUGCCUAGCUUGUUCUUUACAUGUUCUGCUGCUUUAGCUGCAGUACUAGUUCAUUGAAGCUACCUUUUGUUGCGAGACUACUGGAGCUCAACAGUCAACAGUUGCACAAAAAGUAACUUGUUAGUUGUUACACUCUGCUAGUGGCAAUACAUCAUGGCAUACACUAUUCUGUUAACACAAAUGGAGGUCAUUGUGACAAGUCUUCAUCGCCGGGGGCCACUAAAACAAAAGUUGUAAAGCUAAGAUCAACCGCAAUGGGUUGGUGGGUGGGGUUGCUGUCAGUGCAGACAAGAAUAUGUGUGGAUAGAUUAGAGUUAUUUUUGCAAUAUAAGUAUUCUGACGACUAGAUAUGCAUUUUUAUCACUGAACUGUUUUCAGCAGAAUCAUUAAGCUCACACACUUCCUUUUGUUUCUUUUUGCAAAGAUAAGUGCAUCUGAUGUAUUCUUGAUGUGAUUUGGAGGUAGUGCAAAAGGGUUUAUGAUGUCUUAAUCUUAGCAUUUUUGUUGGGCCUUCCUUGCUAUGCAGAUUACUGUGACCUGUAUUAUGUGUGAUCUGGCAGUUUCCGUGGUUGCCUUUUUCACAACAUACAUCAGAGUUUACCGAAUGGUCCUGAACAGCUUGAAUGAAGAAUCAUGACUUGAUAAUACCUGCAGCUAUUACUAUUUCAUUUACUUCGGCCAUAGUCUUGGAAAGCUGCUGUAAGGUUACAUACUCCAGUAUGCCAAUAUGUAAGGAUGUAUUCAUGUUGCUGGACUGUCUCCCCCUACUCAAAGCACGCAUGGGUGUCAUCUGCAUAACCAGUAGAUCACAGGUCAUUGUACACUUACAGUGAGUCAGCAAUCUUAUGCAUGAAUGAGGAGGCAUUGGGUGGAAGGUUCAUGUCACUAGCAUGGUUCUUUCCUGCCAGGAAACUUACUUUUCCAAGAAUUGGACAACUUUUAACCCCAAGCCAAGGUAAUUAUUGGAUCGCUCGAUCAAAGUCCUCCCCAGUUCAAAUUGUGGAAAACUUUUAGCAGCUGUCAGUUCAAAAGAUAUAAAUUUUCAGACAUGUCUCGAGAAAUCUGUAGAUAUCUUACUUACAAAAUGCCAUAUGUUGCUACCGGACUCACUCUCUUUUGGCUACAUCAAGGGCAUGCGAUUUGACUAGACAAGAUGGGCCAGUUCUUGUUUCCCACAGGAGUGUUUUUUUGUGUGAUUGAAGUCAUUAGCUUUGGCAUCGUUCAAAUGAACAGGCUUUCUUGUACAGGUAGCAUCAACUACUAGUACUCGACUGGGUGUCCCAAUUUUAAAUUGCUCCCAUUUAGACAUUACUAUUACUAUAUUAGGGAGAUCCAGUAUCAUGUAUGAGCAUGUGUCUUCAAAUCCAGUGAUAUACCUUAACUAUACAGAAAAAAACAUUGAGAGCUCAGGAGGGAAUAGUUUUCUCAAGGACACCACGGCAGAGUCCUUCAAUACACAGGUAUCACGUGCAUUCCUACACGGUGCUGAGAUCUGUCAUCUGUGUACUAGUUAUGAUGCUUUUUUUUGGAAAAUUUGUACUUAUGAUACUGACUGCUGCAUAAUUUAUUCUGCUCUGGGUGAAAGACUAACGUUGGCAGUUACAGUACUUGCUUCAGUUUAGUCCUUCAUCAUAUCACAACUUCAUACUGAGGCUACACCUGGAGAAAAAUGAGGUAUGUAGUAUCUCACAGGACAUGUUGAUUUGCAGACUUAAUACAUACAUAUAUAGUAUAUACGACUAUCUCAUUCAUGAUUCAUCCGAUCUCUCCAGUGAUUCGUUACUAAUAUUAAUAACCCAAUUGGUAUGCAUCAACUUGAAUGCUAAGUUUAUUAGUUAACAUUAGCUGACGUUUAGGACAAAUAGAAAUGUACUAAAAUAGUUCAUUUCCUUUAUACUAAAUGCCAGCAUAAAAAACAACUGUAUAAUAAAAUCAGAGCACUACAUUCUCACAUAAAAAACAGAGCACCGCAUAGUAUAUUACCAGAAUAGUAGUUUCCUAGCAAAGAAUUCUCCUACCUGCUCAUAUUAUGUCACCAAGGGAUUCAGAUAUUGCAAAUCUUGGAAAAUAUGGGUAGAGUGACAUUUAGCAGCUAAGUAAGAAUUAACAUCAUCGGUUUUUUUAACUGAUGAUGUGCCUUGCUUAUAUUACAAGAUAAGUAGAGAAUCAUGCUGCGUCAUAUGAGGAAAAAAAACAGAAGGCCUGGAAUUUUACAUUUGCCGCGGCACUUUGUAAUAAUUUAUUUACUAACAGGUGUCGCCUUUCAUUCGAUCCGAGACAUGAUCGAGAGUCCAAAGAAUAUAAUCUUUGGCUUCAAUUAUUAGCAUGAUUGAGUAGAACAGUAACAUCCAUUUUCUUUUAAUUACUUUGUUCAAGAAAGUAUUACUAGUACAUUAUUUCAA